AGCGGCUAAAAGUUAUUUCCACUCGUCUCCUACAGCUUUUGCUACCUGAAUAAAUUUUAAAUUUAAAAAUGAGAAUUACGGUUUUAUUACAAAAAGGGUAUAAAUACAUAUAAAUUCGAGAACAUUUGUAGAUUUUGAAAUGACUUUAAAGAUUUUUUGGAUCGUAAAGUACAUAGAUGACUUACAGCGGCCAUAGAUUUGUUGUUAGGGCGCUUCUCUUUGUAGGUUUUGUUGAAUUCCCUUCAAUAAUAAUAAUAAUAAUAACAAUAAAAACAAAUGUAAAUAAUGUAUGCAUACACUCGCACAGAGAAUAAGAGGGGAGUUGAUACAUGAAACAAGGUAAACACUGGCAGGCAUCUCCAGCUUGUUAGGAUCUUUCACAUGUUUACCCUUCUUUGUGCGCUUGCUUGCUGUUACAAUACUUUUACUUCACCUAUAGCCUAUCCAUCAAUAAUCAAAUAAAAUCAAUCUAUUUACAGUUUAAAAUAGCUUCGAAAUUUAACAUUCGAGAUAUGAAUUACUAUGCAAAGUUAGGACAACAACAAAUCAAAUGCAAUUAUUUUUAAAUCAAACACCAAAAAGCACGUGGAUACACAAGCUAGCUUUUCUCCAUUGAAUACCAUAAUAUCUAUGGAAAUAACCAGUUGACGUAAAUGUCCUACUCAUCUCAAACAAAAGGCCAUUACCAUAAAAUUUUUGCUCCAUGUUGAGUGUAAAAUUAACAAUGAACAACUUGAACCAAAAUUCUCUGUUGGUAAUAAUUUACUAAGAAAAUCCUCUCACUAUCAAAAUAUGAAGUUCAAAGAAAAUAUCAGCCAUACUUUUAAUUAAUGUAGAUUGCCUAAAAUUUUGCAAGGUCAGGAGUAUAGUUAUUCCUUAAGUAGGUCUUCAUUAAAGCUUGAAAACACUCUCAAAUCCUUCG
rnacentral:lncRNA from 1 species